AGAGUUUGAUCCUGGCUCAGAACGAACGCUGGCGGCGUGCUUAACACAUGCAAGUCGAACGCGAAAGUUUUCUUCGGAAGAUGAGUAGAGUGGCGCACGGGUGAGUAACGCGUAAAUAAUCUACCCCUGCAUCCGGGAUAACCCACCGAAAGGUGUGCUAAUACCGGAUACGUUCUCUUUAUCGCGAGAUAGAGAGAAGAAAGGUGGCCUCUGAUAUAAGCUACUGUGCGGGGAGGAGUUUGCGUACCAUUAGCUAGUUGGUAGGGUAAUGGCCUACCAAGGCAACGAUGGUUAGCGGGUCUGAGAGGAUGAUCCGCCACACUGGAACUGGAACACGGACCAGACUCCUACGGGAGGCAGCAGUGAGGAAUAUUGCGCAAUGGGGGCAACCCUGACGCAGCGACGCCGCGUGGAUGAUGAAGGCCUUCGGGUCGUAAAAUCCUGUCAGAUGGAAAGAAAUGUUAUAUGGAUAAUACCUGUAUAGCUUGACGGUACCAUCAAAGGAAGCACCGGCUAACUCCGUGCCAGCAGCCGCGGUAAUACGGGAGGGUGCAAGCGUUGUUCGGAAUUACUGGGCGUAAAGCGCGCGUAGGUGGUCUGUUAUGUCAGAUGUGAAAGUCCACGGCUCAACCGGNGGAAGUGCA
rnacentral:rRNA from 1 species